rnacentral:lncRNA from 1 species
ACCCAAAUAUCCUUCCCAUCUCCUUUAAGCUCCACAGUUCGAGCAUACAAUAUAGCCUCUUUCGACACCCUUUCGAGAUCGCUUUUAUAAGCCUUACCAUUCAUAUAAUCAUCCACAUAAUCUCUACACUCUCGCGGAAUUGUUUUCCACGGACUCAAAUUAUUCGCCUCCACAGCAAACCUCCAGCUAUUACAAUGCAAAGCAACAUCUUCCGAUAUUUUCACUUUCUUGCGUGACUCAACAAGCAAAGGCCUCGGCAGUGAGCCAGAAUCGAACCGAGAAUCAACACUUUCGUGACAAGAAGAAACAUAAAUAAGCGACAAUAACAAGAGUGCACCAAAGGCUUUCAUGAUGAAAUAUUACAAGUACCAAGAGAGUGCUAUUAAGAGAAGAAUGGAUUAUAAGGAGAGGCCUAGUGCAUUAUAUAGUAAUGCAUGUCGUGUAGUCAGCAGCAGACGUAGUUGGACGGGUAGAUGAAAGAGCGGCCGCGCGAGAGAAGGGACGGGGAUUAUGUGCGAAACGUGUCGAGGGUGUCGUUUUUGACAAGCGUCGACAAUGUUUGUUCAACGUGCGGCCAAAGAUUAUUUGUACUUUGUACAUUAAGGUGUAACGUGUAAUAAAUUAAAGUUUCGGCCAGCAACCCACGAGGUAAUUAAUUAAUUACUCGUCCAAACUCCAUGAUCCUGUUUGUAAGUUAGAGAUUUGGGAUAAAAUUAAAAGGUUUGAGGUGUUUUAGAAGUUUGACUCAUAUUAGUGUUUGGAAGUUAGCGGAUUGAAAUAGAGGUUUUGAUCCAAAAAGCUAAUUUUGAAAAAGCUACUUGAGGAGCUUUUUAGGUUAGCGGUUUGGUUUGUGUCACAAAAAAAUAAUUAAUCAGUUAUUUACCAAACAAUUUUACGAGAAACAGUCUAGUCAAAACAUCUACUUUAAUCAGGUUUUUUCUGCUCAAUUAAUCUAGAGAAUAAAUUGUUCGACUCAAACCCUAAUUCUUCUAAUCACGAUUCAGGCUUCAUCUUCGUUUGUUUCAUCAAUUCAUUCCUGGAUUCAAGUUGCUUGUGUUUUCAGCUUUCAAUCGAUAUACAUAUAUCGAUAUAUCCUUUUCCAAAUCAUUCGAACUCGAAAACCCUAAUCGCCUUUCUUUCUUUCUUUCGAUUUGAUCUCUAUCUCAACUCUCCCUCAUGGAUUGUGUGAUUAACAAUAAACGAAUUGAAAUUAGUUCAAUUCUCUGACGACGGCGAUUGCGGAUCUCCGACGACGGUGAUUGCGGAUCUCCGGCGACGUUUUUCAGUCAAAUACCGAUGAGUCCUACUUCUCCAAGCCACCACGAAGAUCAAACUGAAGGUGGUAAUUCCAGAACCGGCGAAGUCGAAGGCAACUCACCGAGUUAACUCGGCAACUCGGACGAGUCACGCACUGGUGGUUUAAUUUCAAGUCACAGCUGGAUUAUUAACCCUAUGAAGGGCUAAUGCAGGUGAGUCCAUGCGUUGCAAGACCAUGGCUUAGGUGAGGGAUUCUAAGCCCUCAGUGGCUUGUAGAUAGAGUUACUGUUCUAUUGAUCAAUUUGUAUUAAUAUUCAAUUUUAUAAUUUUGGUAAUUAGAAUGUGUUCUUGUUUGAUAAAGUUAUACUGAUUUGGUAUUGGACUUCUUGAGAUUGGCUAGGGACAGGUUGUGUGUUUUGUUUCUUGCAGUAAAUUUGAUCACUUGUUGGCUUGGCAUUCCUUAUUAGUUUUUGUUAUAUGUUAUGUCUAUGUGCUUGGGUUGUGUGUGUAUAGUCUGCCUUGAUCAACAAUCUCUGCACAUUGUAUAUUGGGUUGUGUGUGUGUGUGUGUAUGUGCUUAUGUGAUAAUUUUUUAGAUGAACCUCUUUGACAGUAAACAAUACUUGUCCUUAGUGUAUCAGGAUUAUUAAGUCAGUUUUAACUAUGAUCUCUAAAUUGUAUUGAUUUUUGUGAAUUUCUAAAUUGUGUGUUGGUUAAAAUCUUAUUAUUUUCUAAAUAAGGAUUCAUUAGUUAAAUUGUAUUGUUUUAUAUGUAGUUGUCAUGACAUGUGAUGUGCUGAUUGCUUUUGAUUUCUUGUAUAGUGUGACUACUAACUCCUACUACUUAAAUUUAAUUGUGUCUUGAUCCAAAUCUGUGCUUGUGUAGUAAAGCAUUUCAAUUAUGCUUAACUUUGUUUGCUUAAUUAGUUGUGCCUCUUAUUGAGGGCGUAAAUUGGGCCUCCUAAUUGAGGUUGUUAAUUGGGCCUCCUAAUUGAGGGCGUAAAUUGUCCAUCUUUAUUGAGGGCGUUAAUUGUGCCUUUUUUGAGGGCGUUAAUUGUGUCUUAAUUAAGGACGUUAAUAUUUUUUAUUAUGCCUUAAUUAAGAGCUUAAUUGUCUCAAUCAUGAGUUAUCAUGAUUGUGGGAAUAUUUUCAUAUAAUCUGUUAAAUAUAUCGACUUAUAUUCUUCUUGUUUCUCUUGUCUUAUUUUCAGGAUUCUUGGAAGAAGACCGGUUUUCUUUUCGGACAUUAAAGUUUUAUUGUCUAAAUUUCCCCGGUCAUCUUGCAUGUCCGACGGUUAGAUAAUAAGCUUUCUUGAAUGAAAGAAUUAUCACGGUGAAUUGCCAAUCCUCGUUGAGAUUUAUUCUCAUCUUCAAAAAAAAAACAUCUACUUUAAUCAGAUAGUCAAAACAUCUAAUUCAACCCGCUAACCGCUAAUUCCCGAACAAAACCUAUAUAUAUUUCAUGUACAAGAUAUACUAAGGUGGUGUUUGGAAACCAAGAUAUUUACAAGAUAUAUUAAAUAUUUUUAUAAUAGCAUCUUACGAUUUCUUCACAUAUUACAAAUUUUCUUGAGAUUUAAUCUAAUAAUUGAUAAUUUGUAAAAUGUUUAAUUCAUAUAAAUUUAAUAAUAACCAGUCUCAUCUUAUAAUUAAUUCAUCGACUGUUGAAGACAAUUACUUUUUUUUUUUUUUUGAUAAAUUGAAGACAAUUACUUAAUCUCUCAAAAUAAAAGGGCACGUAAAAUCAGUUUUUAAAAAACCUUUCGGACUCGGGCCGAAUAUUCUGAUAAGCAAUAGGAAGUCCUGAGUAGUGAGUACUCAGUCCUGAAUCCGGAUGCUUUAGAACCUCACUUUCUAUGUUAACACCUUGCUUAGUUUGCGUAAAAUAAUAUAAAUUAUAAGUUAGAAUCUGAAAAGUUAACUUGUAUUUAUUUUUGACAGAUUAUAAAAAUUUAUCUUUUAUUCUAGAAUUAUUUGAACAAAUAUAAUAAUGAAAGUAUUAAAUUCAAAAAAAAAUAAUCAUCUACUGUAAACAUAUUUUCCACUGUUUCGUUGUUUCAAAUAUUUUAUGUUGACGACCAAUUAAACAAAUUUAUCAAUUUAAUUUAAAUCAUUCAAUAAUUAUUUAAUUAAUACAUUUAAUUUUUAAAAUAUAAACAAAUUUAAAUCAUUUAAUAAUUAUUUAAUUAAUUCAUUUAAUUUUUAAAAUAUAAUUUAAUUAGCCCUCGACAUAAUUAUUAUAUACCUACAAUCACAAUCUUCAACUACAAAUAUUUUUUGACAAAUAAUCAUGCAUAUAAACUAGAAUUGCGAAAAUAUGAUAUUUGUUUUUUUUUUUGGGAAGAUGGGAUGAGUUUCGACAUACUAUCUGCUGAUGUUUCGAUUCCAUGAUUUACAAACACAACUCAGUUGUCCAAGCGCCAUCAGGGGUUGUACGAAAAUCUUCACCAACAAUUCUUUAGGUAAGGUGAUUAAACUCAGAUGAAGAACCACAAGACUUCAUCCUUUUCGAAGCCAUUCCAAUUUCCAAGUUGAUGGAAGUAUCAUCCCAUCCCAUUAUAUAUAAUAGGAUCUCGUCCGAUCAAAAUAUAAUUAAUAUUGGUAUUAGUAUUGUGGUCUACAUCUGGAUAUGAUUUUGUUUCGGAUUUUAUUGCAAUAAUCUGAUACAGUUCUCUGUUCUGUUCUUAUGUUAUCCAACAAAACCAGAGAUCGAUUUAGGAGGCGACCGAAUAAAUUGGCUCAAAGCCAUAGCAAUGUGCAAUCAGAUCCCCGAACCUGAGGAACAAUGCGUACAAAUAUUUAAAUUUAUGAAGAUUUUAAAGAGGCAGUACAUUAUGGCACCUGUAAGAGUCACAGGCUCACAGGGGCAUACUCAUAAGUCAUAACAGGUCUGCAUACUUGCAUUGUAGUCUAUAUAAUCUCGAAUUUGAAAUAUUAAGCAGACAAUUUAGUUUCGUUAAGCAAUAUAAUACAUAGGAUUUGGCAGCUUGAAUGAUCGGGCUGAAAUGGCUGAUCCUGAUAAGUCACUCCAUUGAUCUCCCGAGUUACCAUGGAUGCGGUACCCCUCUUCCACCAUCUGGCUCCUCUUCUCCGACUUAAAUUGUGUUGCAGGUUUUCCUUGGUCCUCAGCACCUCUGCACGUUAGAUUCAAAACCAUUAGUAAAUAUUUCGAGACACAGUUAAAGUCACUCCAGGGCUCGAAAGUUAAUUAGGCCACUCUUAUCAUUAAUCCUGUUUUAGACAUGUAAAGUUUACUGUGGAGCAAAUGUCCAGCUACGAAGUUUCAAUACACACCUCAAUAUGAGCUUUUCCCAAUCAUGAAAGCCACUUUUAGUCAAGUUCUCAACAGUAACAUUACGACGUCGUUCACUGCGUCCUGUCAGCAAGAAAACCUUGAAACCAAGCUUUACUAGUUCUUCAUAAAGCUUCAAGCUCGACUCGAUUGCCUCUGCUGUUCCCUUGUCGACCCAUUUAUCAAAUGCCACAUUGUCAAAAAUUUCCAAUCUGCAAAUUUUAAUUACAAUUUAUUAAAAGCCACAUUCAAAAUCUCCAAUUUAAAAACCCCAAUUUCCCCCGGACUUAUAACAAAAACAAAAUUCUUAUUUGGAUCGCAUUUCUCUUUCCACCCAAAGUAGAUUGUCCAAAAUCUUAGUAGUUGUUAAAAUAUGAUAUGAUUAUUUCGAGUAAGAGAGAAUGUUGGAAUAUAAUAUGAUUUAGUAAGUAGUUUUUCUAACAACUUGAGAUCGUACGAGAACCGAUUACUUGUCUAGGCACGUAGGGUAGAUAGAAGCACCGAUAUUAAAUCGUGUCUUAAAGUGACCUCUUCUACAUGUCCCCAAAACCCAUUCAAAAGAAGAAAAGAAAAGAUCUAUACAUCAAUCUGAUCAACUUCUAAGCCUCACUCAGAACCCAUAGCCAAAAAAACAAAAAAUAGUAUCUAACAGAAUUAAAGAAACUGCAAAAAUGCAAUGUAAACAGAGUGAUAUGGAAAAUUUACCCAUAGCCAUGGUCGGCAUAAUAAGGAAGAUUCGAAAGCAAAGUCUCAUCCACAUCAAACACCCAAAUAUCCUUCCCGUCUCCUUUAAGUUCCACAGUUUGAGCAUACAAUAUAGCCUCUCUCGAAACCCUUUCGAGAUCGCUUUUAUAAGCCUUCCCAUUUAUAUAGUCAUCCACAUAAUCUUUACAUUCUUGCGGAAUUGUUUUCCACGGGCUCAAAUUAUUCGCCUCCCCUGCAAACCUCCAGCUAGUACAAUGCAAAGCAACAUCUUCUGAUAU